AUGCACUGGGUUUCUUGGAAAAAAUUUGCGACACCCAAGUGGGGAGGCAUGGGUUUUCGUGAACCCCAUCAAUUCAAUCUUGCACUAUUUGGGAAGCACGGAUGGAGGUUCUUAACUAACCCGGAUUCUCUAUGUGCAAGAGUUUUGAAGGGACGUUACUUCCCUGACACAGAUUUCAUGCAUGCAACCGUUCCCAAAUCAGCAGCUCCUACUUGGAAAGCGAUCAUUGUGGGCAGGGAA
rnacentral:rRNA from 1 species